GUCGUGGGCGUAGGAUAUUUGAGGAGAUCUGCUCCUAGUACGAGAGGACCGGAGUGGACGAACCUCUAGUGUACCAGUUGUCUCGCCAGAGGCAUAGCUGGGUAGCUAUGUUCGGCAGGGAUAAGCGCUGAAAGCAUCUAAGUGCGAAGCCCACUCCAAGAUAAGAUAUCCCGUAGGUUAUACCUCCUAAAGGCUCCUCGAAGACGACGAGGUCGAUAGGCCGCAGGUGUAAGCGCAGCAAUGUGUUCAGCCGAGCGGUACUAAUCAGCCGUGCGGCUUGAUCAU
rnacentral:rRNA from 1 species